AUUGAACGCUGGCGGCAUGCUUUACACAUGCAAGUCGAACGGCAGCGCGGGCUUCGCCCUGGCGGCGAGUGGCGAACGGGUGAGUAAUGCGUCGGAACGUGCCCAGUAGUGGGGGAUAGCCCGGCGAAAGCCGGAUUAAUACCGCAUACGACCUGAGGGGUAAAGCGGGGGACCGAAAGGCCUCGCGCUAUUGGAGCGGCCGAGGUGGGAUUAGCUAGUGGGUGGGGUAAAGGCUUACCAAGGCGACGAUCCGUAGCUGGUCUGAGAGGAGGACCAGCCACACUGGGACUGAGACACGGCCCAGACUCCUACGGGAGGCAGCAGUGGGGAAUUUUGGACAAUGGGGGCAACCCUGAUCCAGCCAUGCCGCGUGCGGGAAGAAGGCCUUCGGGUUGUAAACCGCUUUUGUUCGGGAAGAAAUCCUCUGGGCUAAUACCCCGGGGGGAUGACGGUACCGGAAGAAUAAGCACCGGCUAACUACGUG
rnacentral:rRNA from 1 species